GAUGAACGCUGGCGGCGUGCCUAAUACAUGCAAGUCGAGCGAACAGACGAGGAGCUUGCUCCUCUGACGUUAGCGGCGGACGGGUGAGUAACACGUGGAUAACCUACCUAUAAGACUGGGAUAACUUCGGGAAACCGGAGCUAAUACCGGAUAAUAUAUUGAACCGCAUGGUUCAAUAGUGAAAGACGGUUUUGCUGUCACUUAUAGAUGGAUCCGCGCCGCAUUAGCUAGUUGGUAAGGUAACGGCUUACCAAGGCAACGAUGCGUAGCCGACCUGAGAGGGUGAUCGGCCACACUGGAACUGAGACACGGUCCAGGCUCCUACGGGAGGCAGCAGUAGGGAAUCUUCCGCAAUGGGCGAAAGCCUGACGGAGCAACGCCGCGUGAGUGAUGAAGAUCUUCGGUGCGUAAAACUCUGUUAUUAGGGAAGAACAAAUGUGUAAGUAACUAUGCACGUCUUGACGGUACCUAAUCAGAAAGCCACGGCUAACUACGUG
rnacentral:rRNA from 1 species